UAAGGCUGUAGUCAAAUGUGUAUGACAUAUGAGUUGCAUUCAUAAAGUGUUUUUAUAAACUAGCUUUAA
rnacentral:tRNA from 1 species